AUACGUAGGUGGCGAGCGUUGUCCGGAAUUACUGGGCGUAAAGGGCGCGUAGGCGGCCUGUCAAGUCAGAUGUGAAAUCCCCGGGCUUAACCCGGGAACUGCAUUUGAAACUGGCGGGCUUGAGGGCAGGAGAGGAAAGCGGAACUCCCAGUGUAGCGGUGAAAUGCGCAGAUAUCCGGAGGAACACCAGUGGCGAAAGCGGCCUCCUGGACCAUUCCUGACGCUCAGACGCGAAAGCUAGGGUAGCGAACGGGAUUAGAGACCCCGGUAGUCCUAGCUGUAAACGAUGUGAACUUGGCGUCGGUGGGAUUAAAUCCAUCGGUGUCGAAGCUAACGCGAUAAGUUCACCGCCUGAAGACUACGGCCGCAAGGUUAAA
rnacentral:rRNA from 1 species